rnacentral:rRNA from 1 species
GUGGGGAAUCUUGCGCAAUGGGCGAAAGCCUGACGCAGCCAUGCCGCGUGAAUGAUGAAGGUCUUAGGAUUGUAAAAUUCUUUCACCGGGGACGAUAAUGACGGUACCCGGAGAAGAAGCUCCGGCUAACUUCGUGCCAGCAGCCGCGGUAAUACGAAGGGGGCUAGCGUUGCUCGGAAUUACUGGGCGUAAAGGGCGCGUAGGCGGACAGCUUAGUCAGAGGUGAAAGCCCAGGGCUCAACCUUGGAAUUGCCUUUGAUACUGGCUGUCUUGAGUUUGGGAGAGGUGAGUGGAGCUCCGAGUGUAGAGGUGAAAUUCGUAGAUAUUCGGAAGAACACCAGUGGCGAAGGCGACUCACUGGCCCAAUACUGACGCUGAGGCGCGAAAGCGUGGGGAGCAAACAGGAUUAGAAACCCGUGUAGUCC